GAUGAACGCUGGCGGCGUGCCUAACACAUGCAAGUCGAGCGAAGCGAUUUAGCGGAAGUUUUCGGAUGGAAGUUAAAUUGACUGAGCGGCGACGGGUGAGUAACGCGUGGGUAACCUGCCUCAUACAGGGGGAUAACAGUUAGAAAUGACUGCUAAUACCGCAUAAGCGCACAGCAUCGCAUGAUGCAGUGUGAAAAACUCCGGUGGUAUGAGAUGGACCCGCGUCUGAUUAGCUAGUUGGUGAGGUAAAGGCCCACCAAGGCGACGAUCAGUAGCCGACCUGAGAGGGUGAUCGGCCACAUUGGGACUGAGACACGGCCCAA
rnacentral:rRNA from 1 species